GGGGCCGGGGAGGCACUUUGAGAGAUGAGGAGUGUGGAGGAAACUAGGGCUGGGCAUAGCAGAGCCACUCCCGCAAAGAGCUAACAGGGAAGAUAAGCUGAUCUCAUUUCUGAAGACCUGGGGGCUCCCUUCUGAAGGUGGGGAAGCUCGAGAGGAGUAGGAGGAGAUCUGAGCCCGUCUGGGGAUACCCCGGGACAGUCAAGGUAUUUGUCCAUAAGCACUCAUCUUAGUCACCAGGAAUGUUGGGGAACACAGUUUUACGUGCUGUGAGGAGACCUGAAGAAAUAUGUCACCCUCCCUGCCCUCAGGGAGCUUACAGUCCAUCCAGGAAGAGGAGAAGAGCACAUGUCAAAAAGCUUCAAGGUUCCAGGUCGUAUGUGUUGAAUGAAUGGAGACAUGAAGCAUAAACGUUUCAAGGAAGGUGUGCGUCUGGGCUGGGUGGCUGCUAACUUCAUGACUGGGACAACACUGAAGACUCUUUCCUGAUACUCUUCAAGUGCUUGUUUCUCUAAAACUACCACUCCUUUCUGGUUUAUAGCCCAGGGCCAUCCUGGACAGUCGCCACCAGGCCUGCCAUCACUAUGGGGUGGCCCAAGGCCAUGUCUGCCAGGAACACCACCAUUUGGUAUUUAUCUAUGCAAAAUUUACAUUGACCGCUGAUGAGCAAAACAGUGCGCUCCACAUAUAGAUUGAGGGUGUGGGGCUUUUGCCACUGGAGUUCCCCCUGUGUUGAGUCACGGUGGCAGAAGGCACAGUGACAGAAGUCCCUGGGAGCCGCUGACUGGCGCUUGGAGGACUGAGUGAUUCAGCAGCGAGGCCCCCCUCUGGCCCUCCUGCCCCAGAAAGCUCUGGAUCUGCACGGAAGCAGCACGGUAAAGGGUGGACGAAUUGUGGGUGUGGAUGCUUUCCCACAAGUCUGUGCUCCCCAGUUCAGUUGUCUGGGCUCUUAUUAAAAGGGUUCGUUCUCCUCCUUAGAGUCAGACGGAGGCCCCCUGUGGGCUGCUGCUUGGGAACGGCCGGGGGUGUUCUCUGGCUGGGGCUUCAGAGGAUGCAAGGACAACCCCACAGAGCAGGAACAGCCUGCCAGUUCCAUGCCCGCAGCGGCCCCCAGAGCAGCUGCCCCAGGACACACGGAUGAGAGGGGAGGGUGUCAGAGGGGCUUCGGUAGACUUGUUGCCAUGGAAGAACUGUGGGACCAGUACAGCCAGACAUCCUAACUUUUCCAGAGAAGCCAUAAAUCUGGAUUUUCCUGUGAAGUCUUCUGACAUUUCACCCUUUGCAACCCAUUAAAUUGUUUUAAAAACACCUCCUGCGUCAAAGAAAAUGACUUUGGGCCACCCUCUUAUGCCCUCCAAUUUAGACCCCAAACAGCAAGCAGAGUGUCCACCUCUUUAGUCCAGAUGAUUAGCACCCAGCACCUGUGGUGACGUGCUCCUCAGAGCGCUCCUUCCUCAGGGGGCGAAGCUGGCAAAUGCGACUGGGGCAGGCGCAAGUGCUGGCAUCAGUGUGGGGUCACCAGCUAACACCCACCCCAGGAGGUUUCAG
rnacentral:lncRNA from 1 species